GUCAUGCUGUGUUUACGCACGUGGUGAGCGGGUACAAACUUCCCUGCUGCUGUCGCUUACGGCCACCUCCAAAGCUUCUGCUGAUGUUAGUUGGGCCCGUCAAGAUCUAGCCCAUCUCUGCACCGUUGACAAAAUUAGCUGCAAGUGCUGAUUGCUGCUGGUUGGCUCAGUCUAGAAUCAGGGCCAACCGAAAUGCUCAUCUGCUCAUGACUUUCAAGGAGUUCUUGGAUUUGCAACUUCUCCAUGCUCACAAAGCACCCUGUGUUUCUUCCCCACUAGCAAUUAGCCCACGAGACACUAUAUUCUUGGUGCUGAUGCAGUCAUCGACGUCUUCCCCAUCUUUCUCCAAGAAUACGCCAAGAUCACGUGGAGUGGAGAGUGCGAUGUGCCUCGUUGGAGUAGCAGCAGGUGUCAGAGCCGGUUGAGUCGAGCUGUCAUCUCCGGGAGCCGUGACGGAAGGCUCGAUGUACCAUCCACUGCGAGCCCCAUGACGAGGACAGGGCAUGUCUACCUCCACCAAAUAUGUUACAUGGGAAGUCGCAGGCAAGAAGCUACAUACAAGUUUAUUUACAAAAUGAAUACGCUGCACUUUGCCAAAAGACAACAGCCCAUACUAGUAGUCUCUAGUUGUCGUCAUCUUCACAGUGCUGGCCUCUUCUCUAUCAUAGCUAUUGGUCCGUAACAAUAUUGAUGAUUCUGAAAACUGGGAGUUCUGUCAUGAUGAAGGUUGUAUCCAGUGG
rnacentral:lncRNA from 1 species